AGGAUCAUUCGCAAUGGGCGAAAGCCUGACGGUGCGACGCUGCGUGGAGGAUGGAGGCCCUCGGGUCGUAAACUCCUGUCAUGGCGGAAGAGGCGGAGGCGGCGAACGGCCGCCCGAGUUGACGGUACGCCAAGAGGAAGCCACGGCUAACUCUGUGCCAGCAGCCGCGGUAAUACAGAGGUGGCGAGCGUUGUUCGGAUUUACUGGGCGUAAAGGGCGCGUAGGCGGCGCCGCGAGUCUCGUGUGAAAUCCCCGGGCCCAACCCGGGAAGUGCGCGAGAGACCGCGGCGCUCGAGUGCGGGAUGGGUGGCCGGAAUGCAGGGUGUAGCGGUGAAAUGCGUUGAUAUCCUGCAGAACACCGGAGGCGAAGGCGGGCCACUGGAACGCAACUGACGCUGAGGCGCGAAAGCCGGGGGAGCAAACA
rnacentral:rRNA from 1 species